rnacentral:rRNA from 1 species
UGGGGAAUCUUGCGCAAUGGGGGAAACCCUGACGCAGCGACGCCGCGUGCGGGAUGAAGGCCUUCGGGUUGUAAACCGCUUUCAGCAGGGACGAGGCCUUAUGGUGACGGUACCUGCAGAAGAAGCUCCGGCUAAAUACGUGCCAGCAGCCGCGGUAAUACGUAGGGCGCAAGCGUUAUCCGGAAUUAUUGGGCGUAAAGAGCUUGUAGGCGGAAUAACAAGUCAGAUGUGAAAGGCAUGGGCUCAACCCAUGUAAGCAUUUGAAACUGUAAUUCUUGAGAAGUGGAGAGGUAAGUGGAAUUCCUAGUGUAGCGGUGAAAUGCGUAGAUAUUAGGAGGAAUACCUGUGGCGAAGGCGACUUACUGGACACAAAUCUGACGCUGAGGAACGAAAGCGUGGGUAGCAAACAGG